rnacentral:rRNA from 1 species
UGCAGUCGAGCAGNUAGAGAGGUGCUUGCACCUCUUGAGAGCGGCGGACGGGUGAGUAAUGCCUAGGAAUCUGCCUGGUAGUGGGGGAUAACGCUCGGAAACGGACGCUAAUACCGCAUACGUCCUACGGGAGAAAGCAGGGGACCUUCGGGCCUUGCGCUAUCAGAUGAGCCUAGGUCGGAUUAGCUAGUUGGUGGGGUAAUGGCUCACCAAGGCGACGAUCCGUAACUGNUCUGAGAGGAUGAUCAGUCACACUGGAACUGAGACACGGUCCAGACUCCUACGGNAGGC